rnacentral:rRNA from 1 species
AUUGAACGCUGGCGGCCGGCCUAACACAUGCAAGUCGAACGAGUGGCGGACGGGUGAGUAAUGUCUGGGAAACUGCCUGAUGGAGGGGGAUAACUACUGGAAACGGUAGCUAAUACCGCAUACCAUCAGAUGUGCCCAGAUGGGAUGAGCUAGUUGGUGGGGUAACGGCUCACCAAGGCGACGAUCCCUAGCUGGUCUGAGAGGAUGACCAGCAACAAGUGAACCGAGCCACGGUCCAGACUUCUACGGGAGGAAGCAGUGGGGAAUAUUGCCCAAUGGGCGCAAGCCUGAUGCAGCCAUGCCGAGUGUAUGAAGAAGGCCUUCGGGUUGUAAAGUACUUUCAGCGGGGAGGCGUUACCCGCAGAAGAAGCACCGGCUAACUCCGUGCCAGCAGCCGCGGUAAUAC